rnacentral:rRNA from 1 species
AUCCGGGUUGCGGACAGUGUCUGGUGGGUAGUUUGACUGGGGCGGUCUCCUCCCAAAGAGUAACGGAGGAGCACGAAGGUUAGCUAAUCCUGGUCGGACAUCAGGAGGUUAGUGCAAUGGCAUAAGCUAGCUUGACUGCGAGAGUGACGGCUCGAGCAGGUGCGAAAGCAGGUCAUAGUGAUCCGGUGGUUCUGAAUGGAAGGGCCAUCGCUCAACGGAUAAAAGGUACUCCGGGGAUAACAGGCUGAUACCGCCCAAGAGUUCAUAUCGACGGCGGUGUUUGGCACCUCGAUGUCGGCUCAUCACAUCCUGGGGCUGAAGUAGGUCCCAAGGGUAUGGCUGUUCGCCAUUUAAAGUGGUACGCGAGCUGGGUUUAGAACGUCGUGAGACAGUUCGGUCCCUAUCUGCCGUGGGCGCUGGAGAAUUGAGGGGGGCUGCUCCUAGUACGAGAGGACCGGAGUGGACGCAUCACUGGUGUUCGGGUUGUCAUGCCAAUGGCACUGCCCGGUAGCUAAAUGCGGAAAAGAUAAGUGCUGAAAGCAUCUAAGCACGAAACUUGCCCCGAGAUGAGUUCUCCCUGAGACUUUAAGUCUCCUGAAGGAACGUUGAAGACGA